AUGUACAACAGCAUGCCUAGUGAGACUUUGUUUCAUUGCAAAUGUUUUGCCACAGCCAGCAUGUUCACACACAAAAGGGCGGCUUUCCUCAUGGAAGGAGAGGAUAUGGCUUUGGAGAUUAAACACAGUUGUAUAGGUUCUUCCACAGCCUUCUCUUGGACAGCGACAUACAUCCCUUUCUGGGGCAUGAGUUUUCAUGUGUUGCUUAAGGUAAUCUUUGCGUUUA
rnacentral:misc_RNA from 1 species